rnacentral:rRNA from 1 species
UAACAAGGAUUCCCCUAGUAACUGCGAGUGAAGCGGGAAAAGCUCAAAUUUAAAAUCUGGUAGUCUCUGGCUGCCCGAGUUGUAAUCUAGAGAAGCGUUAUCCGCGCUGGACCGUGUAUAAGUCUCCUGGAAUGGAGCGUCAUAGAGGGUGAGAAUCCCGUCUUUGACACGGACUACCAGGGCUUUGUGAUGCGCUCUCAAAGAGUCGAGUUGUUUGGGAAUGCAGCUCUAAAUGGGUGGUAAAUUCCAUCUAAAGCUAAAUAUUGGCGAGAGACCGAUAGCGAACAAGUACCGUGAGGGAAAGAUGAAAAGAACUUUGGAAAGAGAGUUAAACAGUACGUGAAAUUGUUGAAAGGGAAACGCUUGAAGUCAGUCGCGUUGGCUAGGAAUCAGCCUUGCUUUUGCUUGGUGUACUUCCUUGUUGACGGGUCAGCAUCAAUUUUGACCGGUGGAAAAAGGCUAGUGGAAUGUGGCAUCUUCGGAUGUGUUAUAGCUGCUAGUUGUAUACAUCGGUUGGGAUUGAGGAACUCAGCACGCCGAAAGGUCGGGGUUUUACCCACGUUCGUGCUUAGGAUGCUGGCAUAAUGGCUUUAAUCGACCCGUCUUGAAACACGGACCAAGGAGUCUAACAUGCCUGCGAGUGUUUGGGUGGAAAACCCGAGCGCGUAAUGAAAGUGAAAGUUGAGAUCCCUGUCGUGGGGAGCAUCGACGCCCGGACCU